GAGUUAUCUCCAAUUUUACGGGGAAAAGAUCAGCUUUAAUAUCCAGCGGACGCCAGCUCGCCGGAUAGUUCAUCUGCUCGGAAAUUUUCCGUUGCCGAGUUACAGACUUAUGUGGAGAUGAGCGUGUUCGGCGGCGAUAGCUGGGCUCGUGAGGCGCAGUACCGGAAGAGAAGAGUCGACGAUUUGAUUAUCGAAGGCUUAGAAGCUUCUGCCUACAAGAAACUUCCCAAUGGCAAAUUCGCUUGCAUUAUCUGCCCUAACAAUCCCGUACUCGACACUCCGAUUAUGCUCUCAGCACAUGUGAAUGGUUCACGGCAUCGAGCUGCCGAGUUGAGGCAUAAAGAUAGAGAAUUGGCUAUGGAAGAAGAGGUUAAUAAGCGAUUGGCAUUAUCAGAUUGUGUCAGCACCAACGCUGUGGCCAACGCCUCAGUUAAACAACGGAAAUCAACUAGCAGACCCUUAAUUGAGCGAGCACGGCAAGCUGCUUCUGAGGUGUUUCCUGGUGGAGUUGAACAACCAGAGAUGAAAUCUGCAAUAGGUAAUCUGGUGACGUCAUGUGGUGGAGAUUCUGGUAGUAACGGUAGUUCUAUUGAAAUUGAAGGAUCGCACAAGGGACUCAUCAGAGAGAUGCAGCCAUUAGAUUACCGAGAGCGUCAAGAGAGGGAACUGAAGUUCACGGCUGCUGGAUGGAAGCGUGAUUGCCAUGGCAGGUGGUUUAAGGAUGAAAAUGUCGAGUUUGAUUCUGAUGAAGAAGAUCCAAACAUUGUCUUAAACAACACAUCUUGACUUGAGGAAUAUUAUGUUGGAGAGUACUUGUCUGAGGAUGGUGUUCUGGUUCACUGGAUGGGAUGCAUGACUGAUUCUGUUUGUUAAUCUGAAAUACUGCAAAGUUGGUGUCGUAUGUGUCCGCGGUGGAGAUCAUAGCUACAUUUAUGUUCUUGUGCAGCAUCAAAGUAUGCUGUACUCUACUCUUUCUUAUGCCAAUAUGUUGAAAAACUCAAUUUGAACUGUGGUUCUAGGUUUAUAUAGCUUGGUUCUUGGCCUUUUGGUUACAAAUUCUGUGGAGCUUUAUCUCAAAGUUGUUUUGGGGGUUCCAGAAUGACGCAACUUUGUUUGUUAAGAUGAGCAUAGCCAAAUGGUAAACAAUAGCCAUACAUCUUAAUCUCAACUCUGCUCAUCUGUCCUGGAGGCUGAUUGUGGCUUGUGGACUUCUAAGGUCGACUUGUAUGGCCACAAAUGCAUGUCAUACUAUGACCAGAGAUGAACCAAUCAGUGGUGAUACCUACUUCUUGGGUUUUCACAGGCACGUAAAGAAAUCUCCAUGUAAAACAAUGAAAUUGGCCUUUGCGAGUAGUUGAGACGUGUCAACAAAGGCCAACUUGACGGUAUCAAGAAAGUGGGGUUGCUAUUUCAAUUCUUAAUCUGAUUGUAAUAUCUACUAGGGAGACCAAUCUUGGUGGAUUAAACAUGAAAUCAAUGAUGAUGUAGAGGAAUAAUUCAUUUGCUUUCCACA